AUUGAACGCUGGCGGCAUGCUUUACACAUGCAAGUCGAACGGUAACAGGUUAAGCUGACGAGUGGCGAACGGGUGAGUAAUGCAUCGGAACGUGCCCGAUCGUGGGGGAUAACGCAGCGAAAGCUGCGCUAAUACCGCAUACGAUCUGAGGAUGAAAGCGGGGGACCGUAAGGCCUCGCGCGAUCGGAGCGGCCGAUGUCAGAUUAGGUAGUUGGUGGGGUAAAGGCUCACCAAGCCGACGAUCUGUAGCUGGUCUGAGAGGACGACCAGCCACACGGGGACUGAGACACGGCCCAGACUCCUAAGGGAGGCAGCAGUGGGGAAUUUUGGACAAUGGGCGAAAGCCUGAUCCAGCAAUGCCGCGUGCAGGAAGAAGGCCUUCGGGUUGUAAACUGCUUUUGUACGGAGCGAAAAGGCUCUCUCUAAUACAGGGGGCUCAUGGCGGUACCGUAAGAAUAAGCACCGGCUAACUACGUGCCAGCCGCCGCGGUAAAAC
rnacentral:rRNA from 1 species